UUUUUUUUACAGAAUAUCUUUGCUCACAAUCCAAUUUUUUGUAUUUAUAUAUUGAACAUCAUUAUUUGGCAAAAGCUGAUAUCUAUUUAAUUUUAAAUAUUUCCUAUUAUUUAAAUUUUUUGAUAUAAUUCCAAGCAUUAAUUCAAAUUAUUUAAAUAAAUUUUAAUUAUAUAGGGUGAAAUGAAAUUUAUGAAUAGUACAAUAAUAAUAGUAAAAUAAUAUAACUUGUAUAUAUUUAAAACCUAAGUUGUGAACAGAAAUAUAAACAAAAAAUGAUUUUAAGAAAUAUUUUUUGCCUUGAAUGUUUACAAUAUAUUGUGUAUUGUUAAUUUUUAAAUUGAAUGAAAAAUGUAAAAUGACAAAAUCAUUCAAAUUUUGUGGAGCAUCAAAGCGCAGUACCUUAAAUUUAUUAAUUAUAAUUGGUCACACUUCCUUUCUUCUUUUUUAGAGAAUACUGUUCAGUUAUACAUAACGAAAAGAAAAUUUGAUUAUUUAUAAUUUUAUUCUAUAAUUUUAAUGAAUCCCAAGGGUGAAAACUGCACUAAAUCACAAAGUUUUGUUUUUAUCAAGAUGGAGACGUUAUGCAUAUAUUUUAAUGCUUAAGUCACUGCCUUACAAUAUUCCUUCAACGAAAAUAAAUUCCGUAGAAAUAUUUCAAAAAAUUACGAAUAGAAAUAUUCAACAGGUGGAUCUUACAGCACAUAAAAUUGUAUUUACACGUGUACUCGUCAAAAACAAUUUAUCAAUUUACAACAAAACAUAAUUUCUCUGAAAGAAUUCGCUACCUCUAACAACAUUUAUCCAUACUUUAUAAUUUUUAUAUAAAAAUAAACGUUCGUUGCACACUAAUACAAUUUUUUUCCUUUCAGAAAAAAAUUAAGCGUUUUUUAAAUUUAUAUCAUUAGUUUGAAUUAUUUUUUAUAUAAUUUUUUAUAUAAUUGGUAAGGCAGUGAUUUAUCGUUAUCGGACAAAUUGAUAUGUAUUAACACGUUGAGAAGAAUGCUAAUGCUAAGAUUCGAAUGAUAAAAAUUUAAUAAUCCAAUUCUUGGUGGCAACGAUAAAAAUAACAGAUGAUAGAUAAAAGAUAAGCGAUCAAAUAAAUUAACAAUGCUAAAAUAUAAUUAACAAUGCUUUUGUACAUUAAUAGAGAUAGCGAUUUCUUUCAUAAGUAAUAUACACUCUCUCUCUUUCUCUCUCUCUGUUUCUCUUUCACUCUCUUUUUCUUUCAUUCUUCCUUUCUCGCUUUCUUUCGUACGCUAAACAACGCCUCUUUCGUUUACAUUAUAAGCAAAAAGGUAAACAUUAUUCUUUUCUAUCCUUCUUAAAUUAACGCUAAAAAACGUGUAACGAUUGCACUGUCGACUUCACUAAAGUCAUUGUAUUUACGCAACAAAAUGUUACAAGUAUAAAAAAUUUACGACAAGUACGGCUUCUCGAGUAAAUUUAUCGCUAACAAUCACGCCGGCGUUCAUUUUACAGCAAUAAUGCUGAUAAACCUUCAUUUUUUCAUAUCUUUGUUAUUUCUCUUUUCAUGCACUGUUCUUACAUGGGACAACUAAUCGUAUAAUUUGAUUGGUCACCGCGUUUCGAGAUUCACCGUUUUGCCCCUUGAGCGUCGCAUCGAACAUAUUCUUAUCCUCUAUCUCAUAUUUUCCCUUCCCUUCUUUGUUUCUUUUUUUUUCCCUUUUCAUUUUCUUUUAGAAACUACUACCUUCCAUUUACCUUACGCGAAUACUUCCGAAAAAUGUCAACAUACAUAAUAAUUUAUUUCUGUUAUAUUACAAUAAGUCGUUCUACAAUAGUCGAGAAUAGAGAGCAGCGAUUUUUACAGUUCAAUUGGCACAUCGGAUGCGCGUGCACGAUCGACUAGGAUCGCGAGAAAAAGAUAUAGGAGAAAAAUGAAGCGAAAUAAAAAAAAACCAUCUUGGAGGAAGACAGAAACGAUGAACUUGUAACAAAAAUGAAACGUAAAUAAGCGAAACAGGGAUAAACGGAAAGGAAGGAUAAAUGAACGAAUAUACGUGAAAGGAGAGAGGGGAAACGAGAGGAAAAUCGGUGUACAGAGAUGCCGAGGUGAAUAUGAUAUCACUGAUAUGCAUGUGGGGACUUUGGGCUCAGAAUUUUCAGUUACUUAAGUACACGUCUCUCGCGUGCUGGCGCACGCCACUAGGACGUCGAACUAUACCAACCGUUUGUCGUCGAUUUGUUCGUCGGAUGGUAAAUGUGGAAACCAGCUCCAGCGGCCGGAUGAUGGUAAAAUUGCGCUUGCUCGCUCAAACCAGCCGAGGCGUACGCCGCGGCAGCGUCCAACGCGCUAGGAUGAACGGCAGCCGAAUAUACUUGAGGCUUCAAAGGCAACGGCUGCGCUGGCUCGUAUUGAUGGCGUAACACGGGGUCAGUGUAGGCCGAUGAACCCUCGUAGCUGCUUAUCACGUUCACCGGAUGGAGUUGUUGUUGCUGCUGUUGUUGCUGCUUGUCCCUCGGUGAAACGGAUGACGGUGGAGUCAUCGCCGAAUGAUAAUCAACCGUAUAACCGCUGGCCGUAGAAUAAGAGGAAACCAAGCUGGUACUGGAUCCUUCGGAGCCAGGUGGAGUAGGCAAAGGACCACUAGGUGUCGUGUCCCCGGCGUAGUAAGUGCCACCGGAAGAAGAGGUUCUUGUAGUACCACUGGACGUGAUUCCAUGAACAUUAGCUCGUAUCACGCUCUCCCUGUUGGCAUAUAAUUGUCGUAGAAGAGCGGAUGCCGGUAGUGGCGCGGUGCUCGACUGUUGUGGACUUAGAUGUCCGAGAUGGUGAUGCGCUCCGAUCCAUUGUAUCGUACUCCUCUGUUGUUGUUGCUUCAGCAAAGCGUCCGUACUGAAAUCGGUAGGUUGAUGGAGAGUCGGUGAAUGGGACUUAUUGAGAUUCUGAACCGGCAAAUGCUUGGACAUCGCCUGUUCUAGAUCUUUCACGGAGGUGCCGGUACUGUCGGCGUUGCUCGUUCUAUCUUCCACACGUCUUGAUUUCGGACUGGCCGAGCACAGUAUUUGCUCACCUCCUGAAAUGGAAUGGUUUGAUGGAGCUGGACUUAGAGCGUGGCUUCUCUCGUUAUUCGUGACUUUCACCGUUGAGUCGUCCUCCUCGUCCUCUUCCUCGUUCGAGCUGCUAUCAUCCUCGUGCAACUUCCGCUUGUGUCCGCGCAAUUUCACUACUAGCGUGCUAAUGUUCCCUACCGCCGUCUGCGGCUCUUGUUGAAGCUGGGCUAUGUUGUCGUGAUGUCGGCUGCCUCGUUUCUCGCUCUCCGAGCCACGAGUAUCUUCGCGAUCUUCCGGCGGCGACCUGUGAGGAUGUUCCUGAUGCUGGUUUGGCGGUCCACCGUGGUUUCUUCCCUCUGCAAUAUUUUAUAAUACUAUUGUACCUUAGCGAUUAGAAAGUUUUCAAUUAUCGACGAAGAUGAAGCGACUAAUAUAUCUAAUAAUUUUUAGGAAGAAUUGGAGCAAAGUAGAAUAUCUUAAGAUGUGUACCUCCUCUAUCGGCGUCGGGGGAUCCAUUUUCUGGAUCGUUUCCAGCAGCAUCCUCGCGUUUGACACCCAUAACGCCUUCCUCCAAUUGACAACAGUCCAUAAUCAAAUUUUCGUAUUCACGACCACUAUAAAAAAUGGUAAAUCAAAUUAAUUGUUAUUCGUUUAAAAUGUAACAUGAUAUUUAAUUAAUUAGAAAUUAGAUGCGUGUCGCGACAUUUACCUUAUAACAUAAUUGACACAAAUGAUAUUUUGUUCCUCAGCGUUUUUCGAAUUACAUACUACCGUGGCACACGUUUGUAGCCACGUAUAUCCCCCACUUUUGUUCAUCAACCUAUAAUAAUGCGUCAAUACUUGUCCCUUGUGAAUCACUGAAACAAAAUCAUAAAAUCAGGAUAACGGGAAAUAUUUUAUAAUUUAAAUGAUUCAUCGAUUUAAUUAUCGAUAAAAAUAUACUCACGGUCGAUGUGAGACUUCCGAAGACGAUUUGCAUCUUCUCCAUGGCACAACGUAUACAAAUUCUUUCCCGUCAAUUCGUCCGCUGUAUAAUCUAGUAAUUCGGAUACCCUAUAAAUUGACACGAAAAAAAAAAAAAAAAAAAAAAGAAAGAAAGAAAUACAAAAUUACUUAUUAUAAAAGUAUAUAAAAAAUCUUAUGAACAGUUGCGAAAUUAUUCCGUAGACGUAUUAAUUGAUAUUCACGAUGCUCACCUUGGUUCACAGUGUGCUAUCCGAAAAUCGAAGUUGAUCCGCGUGACGAACAUGUCGGUUUCGAGGCGAAUUUCGUGCACACUUGGCGGAGGAAGUGCGAUCGCCAGGCCAACCAUGCCUAUUAACGGUGGCGCGGACUUUCUUGUAUGGCUAAACGUAUACUGCGGUCUCAAACGGCACAGUAACAACACGACCUGAAUUCAUAAUCGUUUAUUAACAUCUCUGGUUUCGUUAAUUGAACGCGAUUGAUUUACGAAACGUUAAAUCGAUUGAACUGAAAAUUGAUAGGAUUCGAAUUAAAUAUAAAUUACGAUAAACCGAUGAAGAUUCUAAACUUUAUUUUUUUAAUUUUCAAUGAAAAAUUUUUUAAAAUAUGAGAAGAAAGAAUACACACCCUAUAACCAGAAGAUUUAAAAUGACAUCCCCUUUUCGUUAGGGUGGAUUUCAUCCGGACGCAGAACGCUCUGUCGUAUCCUUUGUAGAGAUUAUUCGCUGAUAACGACAUUACUGAGGAUACUAUAAAUGAUAAUGCAAAUACAAGUUAUCUAUGAAUUGUUAAUUUCGACAAAAUAAAAAAAAAAUUAUUUAAACAAGGAACAGGUAUUUCUUGUUGCUUCUGUGGGAAACUUCAUUCUUCGCGUCGUACUAAGAAUUCACAAUCUAUUCAAGAUUCAUUAACUUUACUACUCGGAGUUUAUCAACGAACGAUCAUGAUGCGAAAUGAUCUCAUCGCGAUUCACGGCGAGGCACAUCGUUCAAACAAAAGACGUAGAAAUUUACCGUCGGGAUUCGCUGUGGAGGAAGAUCCAUGUUCUUCGGAUGCCGCGCUACUCGGCGAUGCUAGGCCAGAGCUGGAUGAAUGUGGACCGGAAGAGGUGCUCGAUGUCAACCCGAGGCCCAAUUGUUCUGCUACUUCCGCGUGGUCUUGCUGAUGAACGUAAUCGAAAACGCUUGAACCCGUCAUCUCUACCUGUAAUUCACAAAAUUUUCUUCAAUUCAAGUGCUUUUUCGAAAAUACGUUUUAUUUCUUAAAAAUAUUUUUCGAAUAUUUUUUUAUUAUUAUUAUUUUUAAUUAUUAAUUAUAAAUUUUCUUACUUUAAGAAUUCUACAAAUUUUUGCAAGGAUUGACGAAUUAAUUCGAUAAGGAUUUUUUUUUUAAGAAUUUGAAGUAUGAUAAAAAUGUAGUCUCCGAAGAAGCACGUGCGUUUAAAUAUCGUAAUUUACUUGACAAGUUAUGGAAAGGUGACUUAAUUAGAGAAAAAAACUGCAGUCGAGGACAGCUUUCUCGAGGCGACUUCAUUGCAGGGAAACUCUGUGGCUCUUAAUAUGAUAGUUUCUAGGAAAAAGUGCUUCGACGUGACCGAAACGACAUUCUUUCGUUCGAUGGAAGUAGCAUCUUAAAGUUAGUUUCCUUUUUACAAGAAUCGAGAAUUCUUCUUAUCGUUAAAUGUUUUACCGAUAUUAUUUUCGAAGAUUCGAAAUUUGAUAAUAUUGGUAGUAAUAUCUAAAAGAUAUAUCAUUAUUUAAAGAUUUCUCGAUACUAUUGAAUAGAAUGAAAUUUUUAUCGAAUUUUUAUUUCUUAUCUAUUUUUAAACGAUUCUCGAAUUAAUUUAGAUAUUUUAAAAAGAUACUUAUGUGUCUUAAUACGUCAAAGAUAUCUAUUUUAGGAAACCAUUUUUUAAAGAAUUUUUCACAAAUUUAGGUGAUAGGUCUUUUUCUUUUUUUUUUUUAAACGAAAACGGUAUUUUUUAUACGAAUUUACGAAAAAUACAAAACACGUUUGAAACCGAAAUUCUAUUAGUAAAACUUUGCAGAACAGCGAGAACGGAAUAUUGAUAAAUGUCGGUAACAAGGAAGAUACAAAACAAUUUCCCUUUUUCACUGGAAUAAACGUGUCUAUCAUUUAAUUACAAGAUUUUUACCAACAAAAUGACAAAUUGUUUAAAAUAUUCGAGAGAGAAAAUUCCUUCGACAACAUUUAUUCGUAAAAUUAUUCAAAUGUACACACUCGUAUAAUCCUAACACGUCGAUUUACCCUUCGAUCCCAAGAUUCCAGGAACUCGCUCAAAGACAAAGCACGUAAGAGUAUGUAAAUCCCGCGAAGUAGAUUACUAGCUCAGAGGGGCACGGUUUUCCAUCGGGGGAGGCUCUCUCAACCAACGGAGAAAGACAGAAAGAAAGGUAGGAAGAGAGGGAGUCAAUUUCAUCGGGCACGGAAACUUUAAUUUCAAUCGAACUUGCCGACAGAAUAAUAAUAAUACUAAAGCCAGUAGUAGGUACCCUCGUAACCCAACAAACAGAGAGGAGGAGAAGGAGGGGGAGGAGGAGGAGGAAAAGGAGAAGGAGCAAGAGAAGGAGGAGGAACCUAUUAAGAAUCAACUUCACCAACGAGACUUAGAAAUCGUUAACGCAUCGGAAUGCCACUAAACUAUAUCCCAUCCCUCGCUAGGGGUUGCGGACUCGAAUCGAAGGAAGGAAGGGAGGACUAUUUAAAAAACGGACAUCAUUCCGAUUCAUUCAAAGAUACAGCUUGCAGAUACGUGAUUCGAAAACAAAGAGAAGAAAAUGCAAAUUGUACGCUUACCUGAAGAAUAUGGGUACCCUGAUGUACAUCGAAAUGGUCCAUAGCAGCGGAUGCCGAUGACCUAACUCGAUUCGCACCUGGAAUCAGAAACGUGGCGCGUUAUUGAAGGCGAUGAUAUACGUCCAUCAUCCAUUUGAAUGGGCUCGGUUCAACAUAGCGAUAUUUAACAUUCUGUUUUUUCAUCGUAGUUAAGUUUAGACGCUUCCGCAAAGAAUAUGACAGGUCCAUAGUUAUCGUGUUAGCUAUACGUGUGUUAAAAAGAUAGAUUUGUAUUCGUCGGACGGCGUCAAAGUUGCAUAUUGCCGUGCAUAUCGCGAACGAUGAAUAAUAAUGAACAAACGGAACUCGAUAAAUCAACAUUCCGUGGUGGUUUCUCUCGAUCACCCAUUUCUGACACAAAUUUCAUUAAAAGAAGGAAAUCACGUCAAUCUAAUAAACAAUUAGCUCAUCGUCAAAAGAUUCCUCUACGAGAAAUUUUAUAUUAAUCUCAAUUUUGCGAGUGAAACGAAUACGAAAGCAUUUACUUUCUCAUAAAGUCUUUAUGACGAUUUUACAAAAUUGCCCGAAACUUCCCGACAGAGUUGCAAACUAAUUCUGUCAUUUUUUUUUUAAGGUUUCAGGUUUCUAAAAAAAUCUUUAGAAAUAUAGAGAAAAAUCUUUCGUGGAAUCUUUCCAACACCCUUGGAUGAAUUUUUAAAAGAUUCUGCAAUUUGUAAGUGUACAAUUUAAAAUGCUCAACGCUCGAGCUAAAAUUUUAUUCGAAACUUUUUUCUCGAGUCUCCGUUAAUUACCACUUUGACUAACCGAAAUCUGUUCCCAUUCCCCUCCUGACAACUCCUACUCGAAGGGUGAGCAAAGAGUUAAUAAAGACGUUUGUCCAUCCUCCAUUGAUUGACAUUCACCCGAUCGUGGCCCACCUCCACUUUAUUCUGACCAUUGUGACUCAUUCCCCGACUCUUCAACCCCUAAAGAUAGCCUGCUAACCAUGCCACCGGUGUGACCCCUUCGCGUCUUCUUCUUCUCUCCCCCUCGUUUAACAAACAAGACGUUCCCGCUCCUUUCCCGUAAUAAUAAACCAACCCACACCCUCUCUUCGGGGACGUCGUAAUGAAAGACUUAGAAGACUCGAUCAAACUCGGCGCGAACCGCUUAAUCUGCUAAGCCCUACGGACCAGGAACGAAGUCGAAGUGGCCGGCUAACUGGCCGGAUUGAUCAGCCUCUGGCUUUCGCCAUUCCGUCAACAAGUUCGUCCCGAUAUCUCGGACCCGGAUCCCCGAAUAAUCCGGCCGGACUUUCGCCUAUGUACGACGAAAGCGGUUUCUUUCACGACCGGCACCCAAUGUUCGUUUCGCUUUGUGACCACGAUCCGUGAAUACCGAUUGAACUUUUACCGAUCGAGUUCGCACGAAUAUCAUGCACGAAAACGUGGAAUUGUUGGUUUUCGAGAAAGGAAAUUGAGAAUUGCUCGACGAGAAGUGGAUGGAUCGUAUUGAGAAUUGAGUAAAUUUUAUCGAGAUA